rnacentral:lncRNA from 1 species
UGAAGCCUACAGUCCUUUCCAUGUUGCUUUAGCAAGGAAUAGAGAAACGUAUCACUUUCUAAACCAGUUUCUUCUCAUAAUGGAUUUGCACCAUAGCAUUCGAACAUAAAUAAUUUCAUUGAAAAACAUAAAUAAAUCAAAUUUAUUCCUUGAUUAUGAAAUCUUCAGAAGGUCAAACAAACAAUUGUUUGUAAUCAGCCAACAUCUAGUUGCUCCUAUCUUCCCUCUUAGCUUAAGGAUUAUAUUAGGAUUAUUUAUUAAUCUAUAGGCUGUUUAUCUCCUAAACUUUUACACUCCUAGAUAGUUACUCUCCUAGACCUUUGGUCUUAUGUAACUCCCUAGUAUUGAUUGUAAUUCUGCUAUAUAUAUAUGAGAGUUCACCUCCCCACAUUGGUGAGGCAUCUAUUCCACUUUCUCUACAUGGUAUCAGAGCCUAGGCUCUUACCUUCUUUUCCGCUGCUCUAGCACGCUGCCAUCACAGCUGCAUCCCAGCCAUGUCGACUGAAUCAACUCAGUCCUCCACCUCCUCGGCCUCGAGUGGUUCUUCUUCUUCCAGCACCACCAGCGAAUUCCUCCACCCCUACGCCACGGUCGCCGUCAAAUCCCACGUCCCCAUCACCCUAGAAAACACCCACCCGAACUACAACAAAUGGAGGGCCUUCUUCACAUCUUUGUGCGGCAAGUUCGGGUUGAUGGCUCACAUCGACGGUUCCGCUCCUCCACGCCCCAAUGACCCGGCUUGGGAACAGGCCGACUGCUGCAUCCGCAGCUGGAUCUUCGGGUCAGUCGCCGACAACGUCCUUGACCUCGCCAUGGAGCCCGAUCAGACCGCGCGGGAGCUCUGGGUCGCCAUCGAGGACAUGUUCCACGCCAACAAAGAGCCUCGAGCGAUCUUCCUCAGCCACCAGUUUCACUCCAUGAUUCAAGGCGACUCCUCCAUCGACGAUUACUGCCAGAAGAUGGAGACCGCUGCCGACGCUCUUCGCGACGUCGGCCACGCCGUCACCGAAUCCCAACUCGUGCUUAACCUCCUCCGAGGCCUGAACGAGCGCUUCUCCAACACCGGAGAUAACAUCGCCGGCGCAGCCGUCCUCCCAAGCUUCACCUCAGCGCGCAACACCCUCCUGCUGAAGGAGUUGCGCAUCGCCAACGAAGCCAGGGUGGCGGCAGCCACGGCGCUGGUGGCCAGCGGCGGCUUCGGCUCCGGUUCCUGCCCUCCCGGCGGCUGCAUCUCCUCUGGCGGUGGGGGUGGCGGCAGUGGGAGUGGUGGCGGCGCACGCCAGACCUUCCCGGGCGGUGGGACUGGUGGCGGCGGCUUCCCUGCUGGCCAGGCCCGCACCGGCGGCAACACGAACCGCCGCAACCGCAAGGGAAAUGGUGGACGUGGCGGUGGAAAUGGAGGAGGGAACGGCGGCGGCAGUGGGGGUGGUGGUGGCGCUCGCCAGGCCUUCUCUGGCGGCGGUGGCGGCGGCGUUUCCUCUGGUGGCGGCGGCUUCUCUGCUGGAGGGAGUUCGACCGGCUGGGUGGCCAACCCUAGCUGGAGGCUGGCCGGGCCUUGGGUUUGUUUUAACCCCUGGCCGGCCCAGCAACAGGCCUGGCGCCCCUCUUCGGCCGGCCUUCUUGGGCCGGCUCCGACGGCCCACUACUCCCAGGCCAAUACCACAUAUGCUGGGCCAUUUGUGUCGCCCACAUCUGCUCCUACAGGCCAGCCCAAUUGGGAGCAAGCUGGCCUCAUUGCAGCACUGAACCAGAUGGCCUUCCAAAGCCCAAACAACUGGGUUUUGGACACCGGCGCGACAUCUCAUAUGUCCUCCACUGAUGGUAUCCUCGUUACACGCUUGCCUAACUCUUACACUUUUAUUACUGUUGGAAAUGGUCAAACUAUUCCCGUUACUUGUCGUGGCACCUCUUUUCUACCCAUAGGAACCACCAAAUUUGCACUCAAAAACAUCCUUGUCGCCCCUUCCUUAGUUCGUAAUUUACUUUCAGUUCGUCAGUUUACCCGCGACAAUAAAUGUUCCAUUGAGUUUGAUGAAUUUGGUUUCUCUGUUAAGGACCUUCAGACCCGGCGCGUGAUUCUUCGCUGCAAUAGUCACGGGGAACUCUACACCCUUCCAGCUGCCACUCCCUCCAACACCGCGUCCUGCUCCCUCGCCACUUCUUCCACGCUUUGGCACCGUCGUCUCAGUCACCCUGGUCCAGCCGCCAUCCACAGUCUUCGGAAUAUGUCCUCUAUUUCCUGUAAUAAAAUAGACACCUCUUUAUGUCAUGUGUGUCAGUUAGGCAAACAUACCCGAUUACCUUUCGAUAGGUCUUUGUCUCGCACUUUCGCUCCCUUUGAGCUUGUCCAUUGCGAUGUAUGGACCUCUCCGGUGUUGAGUACUUCGGGUUUUAAAUAUUAUUUAGUGGUGCUUGAUGAUUUCAGUCAUUUCUGUUGGACCUUUCCACUCCGACACAAAUCUGAUGUUCAUCGUCAUCUUGUUGAGUUUGCCGAGUAUGUUUCCACCCAAUUUGGCUUACCACUCAAAACCCUUCAGGCUGAUAAUGGCAGAGAGUUUGUCAAUACAGCCACCACUUCCUUUCUUACUAGUCGUGGCACCCAGCUACGACUCUCUUGCCUUUACACCUCUCCCCAAAAUGGUAAAGCCUAACGGAUGCUCCGCACCAUGAACAACUCCAUACGCACCCUUCUUAUACAGGCCUCUAUGCCUCCUUCCUACUGGGCUGAGGCUCUCGCCACCGCCACCUACCUUCUCAACCGGAGACCCUCCUCCUCUGUUCACCACUCACUACCUUUUCAGCUCCUACAUCGCACCACCCCAGACUACUCCCACCUUCGCGUCUUUGGCUGUCUUUGUUACCCAAACUUGAGUGCCACGACUCCACAUAAGCUUGCCCCUCGUUCGACAGUUUGCGUUUUUCUUGGGUACCCGGCCUCCCACAAGGGAUACCGAUGUCUGGAUCUCUCCACUCGCCGCAUCAUCAUUUUGUGCCACGUCGUGUUUGACGAAUCACGAUUUCCCUUCGCGGCAACUCCCCCUGCUCCCUCGUCUUUUGAUUUUUUGUUGCAGGGACUCCCUCCAGCGGUGGCUCCCUCAUCAGAGGUUGAGCAACCGCGACCUCUCACGGUGGCUCCCUCCUCGGAGGUUGAGCAACCGCGACGCCUUACGGUGGCUCCCUCCACGGAGGUUGAGCAACCGUACGUUCCCCUCUUCGGCCGACGCUUGCCGAACGACACCGUCCCUGCGGCACGUGACGCCCGCUCAGCUGGCACGCCCUUGGUCAGUGCCUCCUCGAUCGGCGCUGCCCUGUCGGUCGGUGCCACCCGAGCCGGCACCAUGUCACCAUUCCGCCAUGUCUACACCCGUCGGCCCACCGUGACGGUCCCGCCAUCAUCUUCACCCAAUGUGGUUGUCACGGCUACUGCUCCUCAGCCGCAUUCCAUGGUGACGCGCUCCCAGACUGGCUCCUUACGGCCGGUUGACAGGCUGACCUACACGGCUACCCACGCCACCGCUGCUUCUCCUGUUCCGGCCAAUUAUCGCAGUGCGUUGGCUGAUCCCAACUGGCGCACUGCCAUGGCUGAUGAGUACAAGGCGUUGGUUGACAACGGCACUUGGCGUCUCGUUCCUCGCCCCCCUGGGGCCAACAUUGUGACGGGCAAGUGGAUAUUCAAGCAUAAGUUCCACUCUGAUGGCACUCUUGCUCGUCACAAGGCCCGUUGGGUGGUCCGUGGUUACUCGCAGCAGCAUGGCAUCGACUACGACGAGACAUUUAGCCCGGUUGUCAAGCCGGCCACCAUACGGGUUGUUCUCAGCAUCGCUGCAUCCCGUGCUUGGCCAAUUCAUCAACUGGAUGUGAAGAAUGCGUUUCUUCAUGGUCACCUAGAGGAGACCGUCUAUUGUCAGCAACCCUCCGGGUUUGUUGACCCCGCUGCCCCUGAUGCUGUCUGUCUAUUGCAGAAGUCCCUGUAUGGUCUCAAGCAGGCUCCCCGUGCGUGGUACCAGCGGUUUGCCACGUACAUUCGACAGAUGGGAUUUCUGCCUUCGGCGUCCGAUACAUCUCUCUUUGUUUACAAAGAUGGAGAUCAUAUUGCCUAUCUUCUGUUGUACGUCGACGACAUCAUCCUCACUGCUUCGACCACGUCACUACUUCAGCAGCUUAUGGCUCGCCUCCGCUCCGAGUUCGCCAUGACAGACCUUGGUGACCUCCACUUCUUCCUCGGCAUCUCUGUGACGCGCUCCUCCGCCGGCCUCUUCCUCUCGCAGCGCUAGUACGCUGUGGAUCUUCUUCACCGGGCCGGCAUGGCCGAGUGCCAUUCUACAUCGACACCAGUGGACACUCGUGCCAAGCUCUCCGCCACCGACGGCCUGCCUGUUGCCGAUCCUUCAGAGUACAGGAGCAUCGCUGGCGCCCUACAGUACCUCACGUUGACUCGGCCGGAUUUGGCUUACGCCGUUCAGCAGGUCUGCCUCUUCAUGCAUGAUCCGCGGGAGCCUCAUCUCGCCUUGGUCAAGCGUAUCCUCCGGUACGUGAAGGGCAGCCUCUCCACCGGCCUCCACAUCGGCUCCGGCCCGAUUCAGUCCCUCACGGCAUACUCCGAUGCGGAUUGGGCGGGUUGUCCCGAUUCUCGUCGUUCCACGUCCGGCUACUGUGUCUUCCUUGGAGACAAUCUGGUUUCUUGGUCCUCCAAGCGCCAGACUACUGUCUCUCGUUCCAGUGCUGAGGCGGAGUACCGUGCCGUUGCUCAUGCCGUUGCCGAGUGCUGCUGGUUGCGGCAACUGCUACUGGAACUUCAUGUCCCGAUUGCUUCGGCUACUAUUGUCUAUUGUGACAAUGUCAGUGCUGUUUACAUGACAGCGAAUCCCGUGCAUCAUCGACGGACGAAGCAUAUCGAGAUCGACAUCCACUUUGUCCGUGAAAAGGUGGCUUUGGGACAAGUCCGGGUACUUCAUGUCCCUUCAUCGCACCAGUUCGCGGACAUCAUGACCAAAGGCUUGCCGGUUCAGUUAUUUACUGAUUUUCGGUCCAGUCUGUGCGUUCGUGCUCCUCCCGCUGCGACCGUGGGCGGGUAUUAGGAUUAUUUAUUAAUCUAUAGGCUGUUUAUCUCCUAAACUUUUACACUCCUAGAUAGUUACUCUCCUAGACCUUUGGUCUUAUGUAACUCCCUAGUAUUGAUUGUAAUUCUGCUAUAUAUAUAUAUGAGAGUUCACCUCCCCACAUUGGUGAGGCAUCUAUUCCACUUUCUCUACAGAUUACAUGGGAGUUAAUGCAAAAGCAACCUGAGGUUGAACAUCACUGUCUAC